GACGAACGCUGGCGGCGUGCUUAACACAUGCAAGUCGAACGGAAAGGCCCUGCUUUUGUGGGGUGCUCGAGUGGCGAACGGGUGAGUAACACGUGAGUAACCUGCCCUUGACUUUGGGAUAACUUCAGGAAACUGGGGCUAAUACCGGAUAGGAGCUCCUGCUGCAUGGUGGGGGUUGGAAAGUUUCGGCGGUUGGGGAUGGACUCGCGGCUUAUCAGCUUGUUGGUGGGGUAGUGGCUUACCAAGGCCUUGACGGGUAGCCGGCCUGAGAGGGUGACCGGCCACAUUGGGACUGAGAUACGGCCCAGACUCCUACGGGAGGCAGCAGUGGGGAAUAUUGCACAAUGGGCGGAAGCCUGAUGCAGCAACGCCGCGUGCGGGAUGACGGCCUUCGGGUUGUAAACCGCUUUCGCCUGUGACGAAGCGUGAGUGACGGUAAUGGGUAAAGAAGCACCGGCUAACUACGUG
rnacentral:rRNA from 1 species